rnacentral:rRNA from 1 species
UACGUAGGUGGCAAGCGUUGUCCGGAUUUAUUGGGCUUAAAGGGUGCGUAGGCGGCUUUGUAAGUCAGUGGUGAAAUACUCUAGCUUAACUAGAGGGGUGCCAUUGAUACUGCAGAGCUUGAGUACAGAUGAGGUAGGCGGAAUUGACGGUGUAGCGGUGAAAUGCAUAGAUAUCGUCAAGAACACCGAUAGCGAAGGCAGCUUACUGGGCUGUAACUGACGCUGAUGCACGAAAGUGUGGGGAUCAAACAGG